CUACAUGAAGCUGGAAUCGCUAGUAUUCGCGAAUCAGAAUGUCGCGGUGAAUACGUUCCCGGGUCUUGUACACACCGCCCGUCACACCAUGGGAGUCGGAUAUGCCCGAAGCCGGUGACCUAACCGCAAGGAAGGAGCCGUCGAAGGUGGAGCCGAUGACUGGGGUGAAGUCGUAACAAGGUACC
rnacentral:rRNA from 1 species